rnacentral:tRNA from 1 species
GGGCAGUUGGCUCAGUGGUAGAGCACUUGCCUUGCAUGCAUGAGGCCCUGGGUUUGAUUCCUCA